rnacentral:rRNA from 1 species
AGCGAACGCUGGCGGCAGGCCUAACACAUGCAAGUCGAACGAACUCUUCGGAGUUAGUGGCGGACGGGUGAGUAACACGUGGGAACGUGCCUUUAGGUUCGGAACAACUCAGGGAAACUUGUGCUAAUACCGAAUGUGCCCUUCGGGGGAAAGAUUUAUCGCCUUUAGAGCGGCCCGCGUCUGAUUAGCUAGUUGGUGAGGUAACGGCUCACCAAGGCGACGAUCAGUAGCUGGUCUGAGAGGAUGACCAGCCACACUGGGACUGAGACACGGUCCAGACUCCUACGGGAGGCAGCAGUGGGGAAUCUUGCGCAAUGGGCGAAAGCCUGACGCAGCCAUGCCGCGUGAAUGAUGAAGGUCUUAGGAUUGUAAAAUUCUUUCACCGGGGACGAUAAUGACGGUACCCGGAGAAGAAGCCCCGGCUAACUUCGUGCCAGCCGCCGCCGUAAGAC